rnacentral:lncRNA from 1 species
GGAGCAUCGCUAUCCUGCCAGGGUUCGGUGGAGCAUUGCGUGAAGCGUCUGCGUGUCUGCGAGAUCUUGCUGUGGGCCAGGUAUCCAUUCUCCUGCGGCAGCUUAGACCCUACGGAGACUAGAGGUCCGUGGGUGGUGGAGGAUCCUUUGCGUAGCAAAAAAAGAAGGCGAGUGCCCCUGCAUCCUCUCCAGACGGUACCCAGGUGAGUAUUACCCUCUUGAACCCACCACCCGUGCCCACCCUCUGGGAGCCUCCCAAUCCCGGUCUCUGGGGAAAAGAUUUCGUGCAGGUCUGCUGCUCACGUGAUUGUUUGUGUUCUAGUCUUGACUCCAUAUCUGCCUCUACCCAACAUUUUCUCUCUCUGAGACGUACUAAGAUAUCCCAGACUCAGGAGGCCUAAUCCUUA